GACGAACGCUGGCGGCGUGCUUAACACAUGCAAGUCGAGCGGUAAGGCCCUUUCGGGGGUACACGAGCGGCGAACGGGUGAGUAACACGUGGGUGACCUGCCCUUAGCUCUGGGAUAAGCCUGGGAAGCUGGGUCUAAUACCGGAUAUGACCUCGCGGUGCAUGUUGCGGGGUGGAAAGCCUUGUGCGGCUAGGGAUGGGCCCGCGGCCUAUCAGCUUGUUGGUGGGGUGANGGCCUACCAAGGCGACGACGGGUAGCCGGCCUGAGAGGGCGACCGGCCACACUGGGACUGAGACACGGCCCAGACUCCUACGGGAGGCAGCAGUGGGGAAUCUUGCGCAA
rnacentral:rRNA from 1 species